AUUGAACGCUGGCGGCAGGCCUAACACAUGCAAGUCGAACGAGUGGCGGACGGGUGAGCAAUGUCUGGGCAUCUGCCUGAUGGAGGGGGAUAACUACUGGAAACUGUAGCUAAUACCGCAUACCAUCGGAUGUGCCCAGGUGGGAUUAGCUUGUAGGUGGGGUAAAGGCACACCUAGGCGACGAUCCGUAGCUGGUCUGAGAGGAUGACCAGUCACACUGGAACUGAGACACGGUCCAGACUCCUACGGGAGGCAGCAGUGGGGAAUAUUGGACAAUGGGCGCAAGCCUGAUACAGCCAUGCCGCGUGUGUGAAGAAGGUCUUCGGGUUGUAAAGUACUUUCAGCGGGGAGGCGUUACCCACAGAAGAAGCACCGGCUAACUCCGUGCCAGCAGCCGCGGUAAUAC
rnacentral:rRNA from 1 species